AUGUGGUUCUUGCUGUGUUUUGAGACAGAAUCAACGGUUUCUGGGUCUGAGAUGUUGCAUACACCCUCUCAGUCCCUGUAUCCUGAGAUGGAGUCGCCUGAGAAUCCACAGCAAGUCCUAACCAGGGAUGGGUCUGGGUGAUUAAGGAAGGUUGGCUUCAGAACUGGGCCAGGGGCUUUGCUUUUGCUGUUUUGAUCAGCUCUCUGCCUGCAGGAGACAAGGAAAACCAGUGGGAACAGGUUAGUUAUACUCAUAAAUCCUGGGCUUAUUUUAUUAACUCA
rnacentral:antisense_RNA from 1 species